UACGUAGGGUGCAAGCGUUAAUCGGAAUUACUGGGCGUGAAGCGUGCGCAGGCGGUUCUGUAAGUCUGUCGUGAAAUCCCCGGGCUUAACCUGGGAAUUGCGAUGGAGACUGCAAGGCUAGAAUCUGGCAGAGGGGGGUAGAAUUCCACGUGUAGCAGUGAAAUGCGUAGAGAUGUGGAGGAACACCGAUGGCGAAGGCAGCCCCCUGGGUCAAGAUUGACGCUCAUGCACGAAAGCGUGGGGAGCAAACAGG
rnacentral:rRNA from 1 species